UACGGGGGGGGCAAGCGUUGUUCGGAAUUACUGGGCGUAAAGGGCUCGUAGGCGGCCAACUAAGUCGGAUGUGAAAUCCCCAGGCUUAACCUGGGAACUGCAUCCGAUACUGGAUGGCUUGAAUUCGGGAGAGGGAUGCAGAAUUCCAGGUGUAGCGGUGAAAUGCGUAGAUAUCUGGAGGAAUACCGGUGGCGAAGGCGACUCUUUGGCCUGUAACUGACACUGAGGCGCGAAAGCGUGGGGAGCAAACAGG
rnacentral:rRNA from 1 species